GGAGGGUACGGCUCAGUGGUAGAGCACGUGUUUAGCAUGCACAAGGUCCUAGGUUCAAUCCCCAGGACCUCCA
rfam:Camelus ferus unplaced genomic scaffold scaffold527, whole genome shotgun sequence.